UACGUAGGGGGCAAGCGUUAUCCGGAUUCACUGGGUGUAAAGGGAGCGUAGACGGCCUAGAAAGCCAGAUGUGAAAAUCCGGGGCUCAACCCCGGACCUGCAUUUGGAACUUCCAGGCUGGAGUUCCGGGUGGGCAGGCGGAAUUCCUGGUGUAGCGGUGAAAUGCGUAGAUAUCAGGAGGAACACCGGUGGCGAAGGCGGCCUGCUGGACGGAUACUGACGUUGAGGCUCGAAAGCGUGGGGAG
rnacentral:rRNA from 1 species